CAGAUGGCUCCAGGUUCCUUGACUGCACAGGAGUCUUUGGAUUAUCCUGUUUUUCUUGUCCAGUGCCCAAGAUCCUUCACAAGGAAGUGAAGCCCUGAAGAAACAGACCUGAAUAUUUUCAUGAAGAGUGGACAGUCGUAGAGGAAGAUGAUAAACUAGGAGUCUGAGUGUGAACCAUGAAUGCAAGACUGAGAUCAAGAUCUAGAGGAAGACCAGAUGGUCAAGAGUCUUUAGAUGAAGUUAAACCUGUGGUUGCCCAGCAACCAAGUGACAAAAAAUCUGAGGAGGAACCACCAGUUGGGAGUCCUUCUAAGGAACCUGGACAAAAGAGAGAAGAGGGAGCAUCUGCGAUUGAAGGUGAAAGCCAGAAAAUGGCUCUGGGAAGACCUCGUGAUGAGCCUGCAGAUGGCAGUGAGGCAGACGAGAAGAAUCCAGCUAUUCUGGCUCCUGCUAAAACUC